ensembl:lncRNA
ACCCGAAUAACAUUAGGACAAAUUCAAAGCUUUGGAAAAGUACAGAAUCAAUGACAAGGAAAGGACACUAGAUAUUUUUCUCAUAAUCUUUUGUUUAUUCUUCGUUAUGUUUUUUUAGACAUGAAAUAAAGAAAAUAACACCUUUCCAAAACGCCUGUGUGUCGUGUUGUGAAAAAAGGGAGGAGGGAGAUCAACAGACUACAGAGUGCUACACACUCCAUCACAGCAGAAGGAGUAAACAGACAGAAUCAGAAUCAGGGCAGAGAGAGAUCACUCACAUAGUGCAAGGAAUGCCAAUGAGAACACUGGAGUGAAUUUGAGGGGGUCUGUCCCAGCCAGGGGGGGAAUUGAACCCACAACCUUCUGGUCCCAAGACCCAGACACUAACCAACCAUUCCAAAUAGAGUUGACUCACUAGGAGGUGGGUUUGUUACAUUACCCCCUCUUUUGCGAAGCGCUAUAAUACAGUAGUGGUAUAAAACAUGUCAAAUUCAUCCACAUGCACAUCUCAACAUCUCAGUUCCACUUCAGGAGGGCUAGAUCUCAAAUACAAACAGUGCCACUGAAUUCCCAAGUUGUACAACAGUUACUGUCUCACCAAGUUACACAAUACACUUCAAUAUGUUAUUCAUCUCAUGCUAAUGCACAUUCAAAUAAACCCUGAUAACCAAAUACCAAGCAACUAGGUCAUUUAUCACUCUUCCAAUCAUGACUGAGUGUCUGAGUGCUUUAUAUGAAACACUUCCUGUCCUGACUAUAAUUUUCUGUAUCUCCUGACUGUGUUGUGUCUUUAUAUACAGUACAGUAGACCUAUAAGGUAGUCAGGUCUGCACAUAGUACUUUACCUCUGUUUAGUCUGAGACCUACAUCAUAUAAACCAAACGGUGCCUCUUGGAGUGUAUUUAUAGAAUAUAGGCUGACUAGCCAUUGAAUAUUUGAUUUCAUAUUUGAGGCACUAAAUCAAAGAUGAGAGUCAUCCCGUGUAGAGCACCUCAGAGGUGCAGGUUUGUGUGAUGUUAACCACAUACUGAGUCUGGACAAACACAGAGAGUUUUCUAAACAAAUGUUAGAUGAUAAGCAGAUCAUUGAGGACAAUCAUUUCUAAGCAUGGAUAUGUGACGUCGACAUACAGCUGAAAUUGUGAUUUUCUUUUCUCAUUGCACACACAUAGGCUAGAGGGUUAUACCUAGACACAGAUACAAAAUGAUGUGUCACACGCACACAACACGGGCACGCACAACACACUCACUCAGGUACGAUCACACACGCACACACACACACACGUUAGGAUGAAGAUAACACUAUGACUGAUCAAUCCUCCAAACACACACAGACACAGACACACACACACACACACGUUAGGAUGAAGAUAACACUAUGACUGAUCAAUCCUCCAAACACACACACACACACACACACACA